ensembl:lncRNA
CAAUAGUCUCUUGUUUCUAUGGCACUGAUAAGGAUGAUCCUAGUGGAUUUUAAAAAUGAUGUAAUGGAGAAUAUAGCAAUGGCCAUUUACUGAUUAUGUGCUGUGCAUCAGACAGUGUACUGGGUUCCUUACUAAACCUUGUCCUUUGCAAUCUCACAGAAACCUUGUAAGAUACCUAUGAGGACCUGCAUUUUAAAAUGAGGAAACUGAGACUCAGAGAAGCAAAGUCACUUGCUGAAGAUCACAGAAUUGUUUGACCACAAGUCCAUGUGUUUUCCACAAUUACAGCACAUCAGCCAAAUUUAGUACCUAUGUAAACACCGAGUGGCUGCCAAAGAUGUGUUGCUUUCACAAUACAUUGUAAUUGUAGCAGGGCAAUUCCCAGUUAUUGUGCAGAAACCUGAUUGCUCCAGUGGCCAUGACUGGGAGCCAAGAAUGAAGUAGAGCAGAACUGGACAACUUUCCCCUGAAUGUGCUUGAUGAGCUCUCCCAGAUCCCAAGGUCCAGGGGUGAAUUUAUGGAGGGGAAUACCCAAGAGCUCCUUCCCACUGUUCCAAAGUCAAGAAGGACAGAUUCCUCCUGGGGUUCUGAACAGAGAUCAAUUGCCUGUAGCUCAAAGAUGCUAGUUCCCACUGCUGGACUAAAGACCAUAGAGGACACUCUGCAGAAGACCCAUAACAAACUCCAGAGCCAGGCAGUAUCCUUGACAUAUCACUUUAUACUGCACUAGUACCCUCACUCUCAACUCAGGAUUCCCACGCAGGGCUAUUUGUACCGCUUGUGCAUUUGAAGGAUUAUCAUUUAAUUACAUAAUAGAAUUAUAGAAUUAUAGAUUCCAAUUAGAAAUCUCAUAUUUCUAGAAUCUCUACAAUCUAGAGAAUACAAUCUCUAGAAACAUAUGAGAUAUAUAGAGACACAUGGGAUAUUAAGUACUGCUCCUGCUUAUUCAACAUGCAUCAGGAAUCAAUGUACUAGAUGUCAGGUACUGUUAAUUGCUUGGGUUCUUGGUACAUGACAUACAUGGUAGUCAUUAAUCUUGGAGAAGUCAGCCAAGUGAAUAGAAAGACAGUGAAUAUGCAUGUUAUAAUAUUCUCAAGGGCUGGAGAAGCAAAGUAAUGUGCUCAUUGCUCCAUUUACUAAUUCAUGUUAUGCUGUACUGGCAGGUGUUAACAUUUACCCUGAGUCACCUUCUAGCCUCACUGAUAUUCUUGCUUAGUACUAAGUCCUGUCCACUUUAGUGAAGGAAUGGCUUGAUACAAAUUUUAUUCCCAGCAAAGUGACUUCUACAAUCCGAAGGACAAAUUUUUUUAGUUCUUACAUAGUGUUGUUCUCAAAGCUGCCAGGUGGCCAGGAAGAGAUAGUUAUUUCCUCUGUUGGUUUAGGCCAACAGAGUCCUAUCUGAUGAAAUAUGAUCUCCGGGUUACUUGAAAUCCAAGGAGAAUCACAGCCUCAGGGAAGGCCUCAAGAAGAUACAAAAAAAUCCUGGAACUGUGAUCACUCAGUUCCAGGCAACCCUAGAGGCUUCAUGCUCUCUGCUCUCACAGAUACACUUAGUAGACUUUGACCAGGACGCAUCCCAAACUAAUGGGUGAGUUGUUAAGUGCCUGGGUGGCUUAGUCAGUUAAGCAUCUGCCUUCAGCUCAGGUCAUGAUCCCAUUGUGCUAGGGUUGGAGCCCUGUGUCAGGCUCCCUGCUCAGCUGAGUCUGCUUCUCCUUCUCCCUCUGCCCCUCCCCCUGCUUAUGCUCUCUCUCUCUCUCAAAAAAAAAAAAAAAAAAAUUAAAAAAAAAACACAUAAUGGGUGAGCUGUGAGAAUAAACCUAACUGUUCUAUUGCUGAGGAAUCUAGG